rnacentral:lncRNA from 1 species
AUAUUACACCAUUGUCCUGGCAUGCAUGGGAAUGCCUAUUAUACAGGAUAGAAAAUAUUUGUUCAACUUACCCUUACUACGAGACUAACUUGGAUAUUAUAUAGAAUAAAAUGCCAGACUUUGCGUUAAAGUCUUCCAUAAUUCUCAUUUAAUCCUCAUUAAAACCAUGUGAGUGAGUGUAGGGAAAUAAAACCUCCCCGGAUUUCUCAGCGCUUUUGUAAAACUCUCAAGCUUCUUGUGACUUCUUUUCCUUUAUAAACAGAGAAAAAUCAUUUUUCCUCAUCCUUCCCCUGUGGAGUGUCCGGCCAUUCAUGUAGGACGAUAGACCUGACGCCCAUCGCACUGCUCCAGGGAUCUGGAAGCCAAGAUCAAGGCCCUGGCAGUUUCAGUGUCUGUUCUGGAGUGAAGAUGAAGAUCUAAAUACUUUACCAAGGAGUCUCUCCAUUCAGAAAAGGAGAAACACAGCAAUUCCUGAAGAGAGAGAACAGACCUUGGGAUUAAAUUCUAGAUGGUGAUACUGACUGUGGCUGCAGACUAGGACCUGAUGACUUGGUGCUGGUUAUUGUGCGCUAGUGGGGCUCUGAG